rnacentral:rRNA from 1 species
AGCGGAGGAAAGAACUAACAAGGAUUACCUCAGUAGCGGCGAGCGAAGCGGUAAAAGCUCAAAAUGAAAAUCUGUGGCGGAAACGUCACAGAGUUGUAAAUUAUAGAAUCAUGCAGAAGGCGUGACAGUCGCAGAAGUCUCUGGAACGAGGCAGCAAAGAGGGUGAAACUCCCGUAUUCGGCGACGAGUCAGCUGUAUGUGUGGUUUCGAAGAGUCGUGUUGCUUGGGACUGCAGCACUAAUUGGGAGAUAAACUUCUUCUAAAGCUAAAUAUUUAUGGGAAACCGAUAGCGAACAAGUACUGCGAAGGAAAGAUGAAAAGAACUUUGAAAAGAGGGUUAAAAGACUUGAAAUCGUUGAAAAGGAAGCGGUAGAAGAAAAGCAUUGGUGAGACGUUUGCUAUGUGACAGCCGGCCUGUCUUCCGUUCAGUACUUAAUCGGCUAGCGGGGGGCAAAGCAACGGUUGUCUGUGGCUUUUUCUUAUCAAAAGGCAAAAUGAGGUUUUUCUGUGAGAAUAACUGUUGAAGAAGACCCUUCAUUGGAGCUUCGGCAGAAAGUCACAGAUUAGCCUGAGGGUGCAUUGCGAUUUUGUCGAAAAAGCUUCUACUGACCCGUCUUGAAACACGGACCAAGGAGUCUAACACGUAUGCGAGUCUGCGGGUUCAAAAACCCAUAGGCGAAAUGAAAGUGAGUAUAAGGUGCGAAUCGCAAGACUCAGCACCGACCCACCUUGAUCUUCUGAGAAGGGUUGGAGUAAGAGCAUACUUGUUAGGACCCGAAAGAUGGUGAACUAUUCUUGAGUAGGGUGAAGCCAGGGGAAACUCUGGUGGAGGCUCGUAGCGAUACUGACGUGCAAAUCGUUCGUCAAACUUGAGUAUAGGGGCGAUAGACUAAUCGAACCAUCUAGUAGCUGGUUCCCUCUGAAGUUUCUCUCAGGAUAGCUGGAACAAUGAAGCAGUUUUAUCAGGUAAAGCGAAUGAUUAGAGGAAUUGGGGAUCAAAGAUUCUCGACCUAUUCUCAAACUUUAAAUUGGUAAGAACCUUUGGUUUUCUUAACUGAACCAGGGGGUAGAAUGCUUGUUUCAAGUGGGCCAUUUUUGGUAAGCAGAACUGGCGAUGAGGGAUGAACCUAACGCUGAGCUAAGGCGCCCAAAUUCUCGCUCAUCAGAUACCAUAAAAGGUGUUGAUUCAUUUAGACAGCAGGACGGUGGCCCUGGAAGUCGGAACCCGCU